UACGUAGGGGGCAAGCGUUGUCCGGAUUCAUUGGGCGUAAAGAGCGUGUAGGCGGCCAGGUAGGUCGGUUGUGAAAACUGGAGGCUCAACCUUCAGAGGUCGACCGAAACCAUCUGGUUAGAGUCCGGGAGAGGAGAGUGGAAUUCCUGGUGUAGCGGUGAAAUGCGCAGAUAUCAGGAAGAACACCCGUGGCGAAAGCGGCUCUCUGGAACGGUACUGACGCUGAGACGCGAAAGCGUGGGGAGCGAACAGG
rnacentral:rRNA from 1 species